AUACUAAGCCAUGCGAGUCAACAUAGCAAUAUGUGGCAUACGGCUCAGUAACACGUAGUCAACAUGCCCAGGGGACGUGGAUAACCUCGGGAAACUGAGGAUAAACCGCGAUAGGUCAUCACUUCUGGAAUGGGUAAUGACUUAAAUCUACAUGGCCCCUGGAUUGGACUGCGGCCGAUCAGGCUGUUGGUGAGGUAAUGGCCCACCAAACCUGUAACCGGUACGGGCUCUGAGAGGAGGAGCCCGGAGAUGGGCACUGAGACAAGGGCCCAGGCCCUAUGGGGCGCAGCAGGCGCGAAACCUCUGCAAUAGGCGAAAGCUUGACAGGGUUACUCUGAGUGAUUUCCGUUAAGGAGAUCUUUUGGCACCUCUAAAAAUGGUGCAGAAUAAGGGGUGGGCAAGUCUGGUGUCAGCCGCCGCGGUAAUACCAGCACCCCGAGU
rnacentral:rRNA from 1 species